rnacentral:misc_RNA from 1 species
AACUUUUAGCAAUGGAUCACUUGGUUCUGGCAUCGAUGAAGAACGCAGCGAAAUGCGAUAAUUAAUGUGAAUUGCAGAAUUUAGUGAAUCAUCGAAUCUUUGAACGCACAUUGCGCCCCUUGGUAUUCCGGGGGGCAUGCCUGUUCGAGCGUCAUUUCAACCCUCAAGCUCUGCUUGGUCUUGGGCCGCGCCGGCAACGGCGGGCCUCAAAAACAGUGGCGGCGCCAUCGUGUCCCUCAGCGUAGUAAUUCUUCUCGCUGCUGGUGCCCGGUGGCCGCUGGCCAGCAACCCCAAAUUUUUCUAUGGUUGACCUCGGAUCAGGUAGGGAUACCCGCUGAACUUAAGCAUAUCAAUAAGCGGAGGCU